GCCCGAGAGAUGUCUCCCGCCGCGCCGCCAACCUUGGCAGCCCUCGGUAGGGGGAUUUAAAAAAGAAGGCUGAGGGGAUCUGGGCCGCGCGCCUCCUCCUGGUGGAAAUUAACAAGGAGUGUGCCGGAAAAGGAAAACCGCUGGUGAAUCUCGUGGAAUUUACCCUGAUUUGGGCACCUAGGGCCGUAACAAAAUAGAUUUAGGAGUGACAGAGCAACGCGAAGCACCAGCAUCAAGAAAUGAGCAGAAAAUGUAGAGCGGCAGCGGCAGAAACGCUCAGCAAGCUGCAGGGGAGCUCCGGAAAGUCUUCCCACCAAAGUGAUUCCUUACAUGCCAACUUGAGGUCUCGGUGUAAUUAUGCGUCCCCACCUGUCCCGCCCCCGCACUUCUUGGAUAGUUACGGAACUUGAGAACCGAGAGAGCCAACUUUAAGGAGGGAUAAAAGGAUUACUGGAGAGGAGAUUCAUUCUUGAUUCAUUAGCUUUUCUCCUCCCCAAGUUAAAAGCAGAGGGAAGAAUAAAAAAAUAAAAAUAAAAAAAAAAGCAGAGGGAAGAAAGAACACAGCAGCCAAAGCAUCUAGAAAGAAAAGGCAAAUAGCAAUGACUUGAGUCACCCAGAAAAGCGGAUGUGACAACGGUGUGUCAGCGCAAGUUACUUAAACUGGGAAAGCCUACGAGGUCGGGUGGCGGAUGGGAGGUGGCCGCUCUUGGAGGACGGAAGUUUGGUCCAGAAGUCUAUCCUCCCAGGGGGUGCCGGAGAUUGACUGGUGUCCCAAGAUGAGUGGAACAGCCUUAGCAUGUUCUUCUCUUGACAACUGUAGAAGCACAAGAGAAGGCAAGCCUAAUCCAGGGAGGAAGAAGCAUCUGGCACCUCAGCUCUGUGAAACAUCACCAACUGUUCCUGGGAAGGGGAGUCAAGAAGCAGCCGACCUGCUUUAGGAGGGCAAGUGACCUGGGUUACUCCUGCCCACUGCCAGUCACACAGAUUACACUUCUCUGGAUAUGACCCAGUGUCCUCAAUUCCCCAGGCCUAAAUACACUUAAACUUCCUUCUCCAAACUGCUUUAUAUUCCUUACCCACCCCCUCCAUUCUCCCCUCCAUUCUUAGCUCUUAAAAAUAUCACAGACGCUGCAGUUGUCACGUGUCUCCUGACUUUUCAUCAUAGCUCUGCAUACCCCUUUCGAAUAUCCUUUUCCUUUCUCUCUUUUUUUUUUUAACCUCACAAUUUUGCUUUUUGGCAACCAACCAAGGAUUUCUCUAUGUGACUUAAAAGAAAUAUUACAAGACAAACUGUCUCCUGGUACAAGAGCUACAAAAUUAUUUGCAUAUGUAAUCUCUUCCUGUGCCUCCUGCUAGCCUGGGACUCUUCUUCGCCUCCAAUCCUGGUGGUGUAACAAAAGAAUAAAUUAUGGUCCUACUGAUAGAACAUUAAACUGACAAUCUUCUGAGGCACAGGCAAUUUUCAUGGAAACCAAACAAAAUUCAAGAUUAUACAUUUUCUUGUAAGUGUAUUUCUUUUUCCUGUCUGCCCUCUCACAUAGUAUCAGUUUUCUUGCCUUCUUUUUAUUCAGUUUCCUCUCUGAAAUAGGAAACAAUACAUCUAAAGCUGACUGUGAACCAAUCUCCCAGCAAUUGAGCUAUACAUGCCGAUAGGGAACUAAGGUAUGGCAAAUCAGUUACAAGGCAUUCAGGCUUAUAAUUUAAAGAUUUGGCUAAAAUUAAUAAACUGUAGCAAUUUUUAAAAGACUGAACGAAUUACCUAAUGUUUUGCCUCCUUCCUGACUACUUUGGGAAGAAGGGAAAAAUGAAAAUAAAGGUGUUUAUAUAGUGCCAUCUAGUGGCAGAUACAUCCAAAAAAAAAAGGAAGAAAAAAAAUGCUCUGUUUCCUCUCGGAAUUGUUUAAAGGAACCCAGAAAACAUUUGCUACUGUUAGGGUCUGGUCCCAGGUUUAAUUCUAGUUUUGUUUUACCUCCCUGAGGAAAAUGCAAUUCUGGGGCUCUUUUUGGUGUCACUGAGAGUUUUAAGUUUUAAUCUGGUUUGUAGAGAGCCAAAAAAGAUGAAAAAUCUGAAAAUCCAGAGCAAUUACUGCCUUAGUAUUUUUUUUUUUUUUAAAGAUUUUAUUUAUUUAUUUGAGAGAGAGACAAUGAGAGAGAACACAUGAGAGGGGAUAGGGUCAGAGGGCGAAGCAGACUCCCUGCCGAGCAGGGAGCCCGAUGUGGGACUCGAUCCAGGGACUCCAGGAUCAUGACCUGAGCCAAAGGCAGUCGCUUAACCAACUGAGCCACCCAGGCGCCCCUGCCUUAGUAUUUUAACUAAGGUUUUCCUUGCCAUCCCACCUCUGCCUGUCUUGCUAAAACAAAACACUGAUUCUGCUAAGAAUAGGAAAUGUUAACAAUCUAAGAAAACUGCAAUGAUCACGCUACUUAAAACAGAACUCUGCUCCCCUCUUCUGUCUUAAAUCUGUAGCUCUAAAAUUUUAAAUAUUUAUGAAUAUGAAGAAGCAAAGUUCUCUUCAAUUACAUUUCUUAAAGAGAUGCACAUCUAUAAGGACAAUUAACAGAGUUUUCAAAGUUGGCCCACCGUUAGCCAGGUUCAAAAUCAAUAAACAACCCUCCCCCUCCACAUGAAGAAGGAAAACAAAAUUUAGAAAAACAAUAGCCCAACCAGAAAAUACUGUCUAAUUAAUCUGUGUUUCCCAGAAUCAGCUCGUCCUUUCAAAGACCUAUCUCUAACUUGUAGUUCCUCUGACUGUGAUAUAUUUCCAGGACCAAGUCUCUCUCCUGCCCCACACUUACCAGCUGCUGUUUCCAAAGCACUUCCCCCUUGCUUAGCAGGGCUCUCCUCAAACCUGCCUGUAGCAAUCAUCACCUUCUUCCCAAGUGGUGACAGAGGUGGAUUCUUAGCACGCUGACCUCAGAGACUUUGAGUUUCCCGGGACCUCUUCCUGUUGUGCAUUCUUUCAUUCUGUCAUGAGCGUGUGGAUAAACUAAUAGUUGUGAAUUUGAAUUGAAAUAUAAAACAUGCUGAGCAAAUCUAAAAUGCCUUGAAUAGUAGGAGGUAGUUAAAUGGAUGACGCUCAGACAUCAUAUGAUGUUGGCUGAGAUAUUGUUGUAUCUGCUGAGUCAAGGGGCUAAAUCUGUAAUUUCCCAAUACGACCCAUCAUCUGGAAAUCUCUCCAUAAAUACAUUUGCUCUUCCUCUCAUGGUUCCCUGACACUUAUGAAAGGGUUUCUUUGGCCUUAAUUUCUUCUUCAUUAAGAUACUCAUAACUGGGAAAAUGAACAUAAUUUUUCAGGAUGGCAGAUUUAAGCAUGGUAUACUUUUACCAUGCUAAUUACAAGGCGAGUAAUUGAAUGGGGCACAUCUGUCUAAAGCAGUUUCAAUUCCAAAAGACUCCAAACCUCUGUUCUUAAUUUCAGCUAAACUACCAUAGAAUUUUCCUUUCAGAAACAGGACAGUGACCUCUUGAUCUCUAUGGUUUCAGUAUCGCCGAAGCCCUCAAUUCAAAGGCUUCUGCUUUUGUGAUGGCAUUAGCGGUGAUUUUAUAAUUGGUACUUAGAAUUGAUAUGCAGUGAAAUUUAAAUGGUUGUUGAGAUCUUUGUUGAUUAAAGAUUUUUAAAUUAAAUACCAGUUUAGUAUCUGGUGUUAUUUGAAAGGGCCAAUCUUCCACAGCAGGAAUUUUAGUGGAAGAAUGCCAAGCAAUGCUCACUUUAUGUCUCACUUCCAACCUCUCUAGUGGUGCCAAGUUUAUUAUAGGUUAGAAACUGAACAGGAUCUAGCAACCCACUUCUAAAAUGUAAUCAUUUAAUUUCCAUGUAAUUUCAUG